rnacentral:rRNA from 1 species
UAAAAUUUAACAUUAGUGCAUCAGAUCCCAUUAGAACUCCGCAGUUAAGUGUGCUCGGGCUAGAGUAGUACUUGGAUGGGUGACUUCCUGGGAAGUCCUAGUAUUUUAC